UCACGUGGGCCGACGGCCUGUCGGAGAGCUGGGCGGCUGGGCGGGCGCGCGUGGAGAUUCCCCGGGCUGCCCCAGGGUAGGAACCCGCGGGAGCGCGGAGCCGCCCUGGGCUCGCUGCGCGGGCGCAAGUGGAGGCGGCCCGGAAGACGCCAGGCUGCAGGUUCCCAAGGAUGCUGUGUGAACACAACCUGCAUGCACCUUGUCCUGCCGGAGAUCCUGUGUCUGAUAAAGUGACCAAAAAGUCUCGUGUGUAAAGUGUCAGAAUAAAACUGCUACUAAGGAAAGUAAUACAGAGUACAAGACACCAAGUUGUAGAUGCUACCAUGAUUCCAUUCUCUGGGCAGAUGACCUCACCAAUGUGUCCUGGAACCUCGCCACUCCAGAGCUCUACCCCACUAGGGAAAGAUAGAAUCAGGCUGGAGCUAUGAACCAACUUGCCAGUGCCCAAAUCCAGCAGAGAAGCAAUUACAGAAGCCAGACCUCCUACCUUCUGUACCCUAAAAGCAACUUUGAUCCAUAUUCCCAGUGGGGGAGAAGUGAGAGGAGGAAGAGGAUAAGAGGGCUCAGAACUCCAGCUCCAUCAGGACCCACAAAGAGAAGAGGGAAAAGGGAGGGACAUUCGGAUGUAGUAAUAAGGUCAUGAGUGGCUUGGAGGGGAAGAGAGGACUGGACUUGGAAGAAAAAAAGGGGCAAUUAUGUACAAAUGUAGGCAGAUGGUUGUAGAGAUGAUAGCUAAUCCAUGUCUGCAACCUUGGGAGAACUGCGGUGGUUUGCAGUGGAGGGGGUGGGGGUUCAGAACUCUGAUGGUGAAAACAGUGUGGAACUGUAUCCCUGUUGACUUGUAAUUUUGUAAAUCAAUAUUGAAUUUGAAAGAAAAAAAUUCUUCCCCUUAUCUGCCCUUCUAAACCAUCAUAAACCAUCAUUCCCCUC